AUAUUUAACUGAUAGUGGAGACAUCAUGAUUAAGAAGGUGAUUCACCCAGGGCGAGGCUCGGCCAUUUCUCUGCAGCCCUGCUGAUCCCUGUGCAUUCUCCAAAUGUUGGAAUCUCGACUGCAUAAUUUAUGAUAGUGGGGGCCUGUGUUUGCACUCUCCCCUG
rnacentral:snRNA from 1 species